rnacentral:misc_RNA from 1 species
CAAGCAGAAUAGCUUAUGUCCGAGUUACAAACAAUAAUAUAAAUAACUUAUUUUUUUUUAAAUAGUGUGUGAAAAUUACUUAAAAAAUUAGCUAUAGGUAAAAUAAUUUGAUUAUAAUUACAAUUAAAUUAGAAUGAUAAUUUUACAAUUAACUAACACAAAUAAGUCGAAUAAUAAUCGGGUCAAAAAAGUCACGUUUCGUCGUGAUAUCGUAUUUUUCGUACAUCUACGACAAAAAGAACAAACGCGUUAUAAGGUACAAAACGAGUAAAAUUUGUAUAGAGAGAUUAUUUUUUUUAUUUAGCGUUUGUAUUACAAAUAUUUACCUAUAAAAACAUCAGCUUUCUUUUGUUGCCGAAUAUGUAAUUUGCGUACUCAACAUGUUUUGUGAGUAAUAAAUAAAUAUGACAUAGCUUAAAAACAUUUACAUAAAAUCGAGAACAUGGAGCUACGAAACUAAGAUUGUCCACUGGCCUCCCACGUUCGAGCCA